rnacentral:rRNA from 1 species
GAGGAAAAGAAAAUAACUAUGAUUCCCCUAGUAACGGCGAGUGAAGCGGGAUCAGCUCAAACUUAAAAUCUGCGAUGCUUGCAUCGCCGAAUUGUAGUCUAUAGAUUCGUUUUCAAGGCGAAUGCGCAGUACUUAAGUUGCUUGGAACGGCACAUUGUAAAGGGUGACAAUCCCGUACGUGGUACUGUGCAUCGUUCACGAUGCGUUUUCUGUGAGUCGGGUUGCUUGGUAAUGCAGCCCAAAAUUGGAGGUAAACUCCUUCUAAAGCUAAAUAUUGGCACGAGACCGAUAGCGAACAAGUACCGUGAGGGAAAGAUGAAAAGCACUUUGAAAAGAAAGUUAAUAGUACGUGAAACCGUUAGGAGGGAAGCGCAUGGAAUUAGCAAUGCUCUGUCGAGAUUCAGACGAUCGGCUUGGUGUACUUUGGUCGUACGGAUUCGAAUGGACCGUUGGCUUUGGUCACGCUUGGCUGUUUGUCGCAUUUCCCGGCAGUGUGCGUCAACAGGUAUUGGAACUGGGUGAUACGCCCCGCAGGAAUGUGGCUUGCUUCGGCGAGUGUUAUAGACUGUGGUGUGCUAGCUCGGAUUCGAUAGAGGCGUCGCAGCACAUGCCCUCGGGCUGGCUUCUGUUCUCUCGGCUCGGUGUGACUAUAGCGGACUGCUUGCAGUGCGUUUGAACUUCAUCGGGUCGUCGGGGGCAAGAAUGCACACUAUGUGCUUAGGUUGUUGGCGAUCAUAUGGUUUCAUGCSACCCGUCUUGAAACACGGA